rfam:Dictyocaulus viviparus strain HannoverDv2000 D_viviparus-1.0_Cont11.11, whole genome shotgun sequence.
CGAUGAACAAUGAUGACCGCAUAGUUCAACUGAGCGGCUAGGAUGUGCUGACAAAUUUCGCCCCUAUCUGAGUUCAUUU